GCUGGGCAUGGUGGUGCAUGCCUGUAAUUCUAACUACUUGGGAGGCUGAGAAAGGAGGAUUGCUUGAGCCCAAGAAUUCAAGGUUGCAGUGAGCUCUGAUUGCACCACUGCACUCCAGCCUGGGUGACAGAGCAAGACCCUGUCUCAA
ensembl:misc_RNA Metazoa_SRP Metazoan signal recognition particle RNA